UAUGUUUGACAGUGGAAGGAUUUACGUGAUUGCUUGCUUGUUGUGGCACUUAUGGAAGGCUGAAUUUUCCCGGUGGCGGUCGAAACGCCAGCCGGAAUUGAGCUGCCAAGACGCACUGAAUCGAACCGCACCCCGCGGUGGAAACGAGGGGGGAUAAAACAAAAAAAAGCGAAAUUCCGUAGCAUUGGCCUAUCCGACGCAGUUCGACCAUUUCACGUGCUGUAAUAGCUAGCUACUAGCUACCACCAAGCUACCACCAAGACAUCCUCCUGGCUCGCAGACAUCUUUUGCACCAAACAAAAAACGACCUGCAGUGCAAGAAAAUUAGGCUGGCCUAAGAGAUGAGGCCGGUUCCUGCAUCCCUUGCUGGCUUGAGCCUGCUCCGCCGCUGGGAGAUGACCAUCCCCAUCUUGCUGAAGACCCUCUCGGAUGGAACAGAUGUUGCCAAAACGCACAACCUUGCCAGCAUGAGCUGCGUCAACCGUGGGUAAACCAACUGACGGCUCUUCCACCAGGCCAGCGGGUUGGAUGAGCGAGGCAUCAUGGGCUCCUCAAGACACUGCUCUCCUUGACUGAGGCCCCUGCUGCUGCUUC